rnacentral:lncRNA from 1 species
UUUCGGGAUAAAUGGGGGAUUUUCGAAGAGAAAAUGGGUGAUUUUCAGGGUUUUUUGGGGGAAUUUUGAAGAGAAAAUGGGUGAUUUUUACUUAAAUGGUACCUUUUUGAAGAGAAAAUUGUUGCUUUUUACAAAAAUGUAAGAUUUUUGAAGAGAAAAUGGGAUAUUUUUGGCUUAAAUGGGGCCUUUUUGAAGCGAAAAUGUUCGGUUUACGCUUUAGAUGGUGUAUUUUCGAGGAGAAAAUGCGUGAUUUUCGAGUUAAAUGGGGGAUUUACUAACAGAAAAUGGGUUACUUUCAGGUUAAAUUCGGGAUUUUCGAAGAGGAAAUGCGUGAUUUUCGCUUAAAUGAAUUUUUGAAAUGAAAAUGCUUUAUUUUCACUUAAGUGGGGGGUUUUCGCAGAGCAAAUGGGUGAUUUUUGGGUUAGAUGGGGGAUUUUUGAAGAGCAAAUGGGUGAUGUUCGGGAUAAAUGUGGGAUUUUCGAAAAGAAAAUUGGUUAUUUUUGAGUUAAAUUGAGGGUUUUUGUUAAUAUAAUGCGUGAUUUUUUUGUUAAAUGGGUGAUUUUCGAUGAGAAUUUGCGUGAUUUUAGCUUAAAUGUGGGAUUUUCGAAGAGAAAAUGGGUGAUUUUUGCUUAUAUUGGGCAUUUUCGAAGAGAAAAUGGGUGAUUUUCGCUUAAAUGCGUGAUUUUUUAGCUAAAUGUUGGAUUUUUGAAGAGAAAAUGCAUGAUUUACCCUUAAAUGGGGGAUUUUCGAGGAGAAAAUGCGUGAUAUUUGCUUAAAUGGGGCAUUUUCGAAGAGAAAAUGCGUGAUUUUUGCUUAAAUGCAUGAUUUUUUUGUUAAAUGGGGGAUUUUUGAGGAGAAAAUGCAUGAUUUACCCUUAAAUGGGGGAUUUUCAAGGAGAAAAUGCGUGAUUUUCCAAAUAAUUGGAGAUUUUUGAAGGGAAAAUGGGUGAUUUUCGGAUUAAAUGGGGGAAUUUUGAAGAGAAAAUGGGUGAUUUUCGGGUUAAAUGGGGGAUUUUUGAAGAGAAAACGGGUGAUUUUUGCUUACAUGUCUGAUUUUUUAGCUAAAUGUUGGAUUUUCGAAGAGAAAAUGCAUGAUUUACCCUUAAAUGGGGGGAUUUUCGUGGAGAAAAUGGGUGAUUUUUGGGUUAAAUGGGGCAUUUUUGAAGAGAAAAUGGGUGAUUUUCGAGAUAAAUCAAGGAUUUUUGAAGAGAAAAUGCAUGAUUUACCCUUAAAUGUUGGAUUUUCAAGGUGAAAGUGCGUGAUUUUCAAAAUAAAUGAGUGAUUUUUGAAGGGAAAAUGGUUGAUUUUUGGGUUAAAUGGGGGAUUUUGAAGAGAAAAUGGGUGAUUUUCGGGUUAAAUGGGGGAUUUUCGAAGAGAAAGUGGGUGAUUAUCGAGAUAAAUCAAGGAUUUUUGAAAAGAACAUGCAUGAUUUACCCUUAAAUGGGGGAUUUUCUAGGAGAAAAUGCGUGAUUUUCAACAUAAAUGCACGAUUUUUGAAGGGAAAAUUGGCGAUUUUUGGUUUUAAUUGGGGAGUUUUGAAGAGAAAAAGGGCGAUUUUCAUUUAAAUGGGCGAUUUUCGAAGAGUAGAUUUGUGAUUUUCGUUUAAAUGGGGGAUUUUCAAAGGGAAAAUGCAUGAUUUACGGGUUAAAUUGGGGAUUUUUGAAGAGAUAAUUCGUGAUUUAAAUUUAAAUGGGGGAUUUCCGAAGAGAAAAUGCCAGAUUUUUGAGUUAAAUGGGGGGAUUUUCCAAGCGAAAAUUUGUGUUUUUCACGUUAAAUUGGGGAUUUUGGGAUUUAAAAUGUGUGAUUUUCGCUUUAAGUGGGUGAUUAAGUGGGUGAUAAGGAGAAAAAUGGUCAUUUUUGGGUUAAAUGGGGAAUUUUUGAAGAGAAAAUCGGCAAUUUUCGCUUAAAUAGGGGAUUUUCAAAGCGCAAAUGUGUGUCUUUCAGAAUAAAUUUGGGAUUUUCAAAUCAAAAAUGGAUGGUUUUCCCUUAAAUUUGGAUUUUCAAAGGGAAAAUGCAUGAUUUUCGGGUUAUAUGGGGGAUUUUCGAAGACAAAAUACGUGUUUUUCGGGUUAAAUGGGUAUUUUCGAAGAGAAAAUGUGUGAUUUUCGGGUUAAAUGGGAGAUUUUUGAAGAGAGAAGGAGUGAUUUUUGGGUUAAUUGUGGGAUUUUUGAAGAGGAAAUUCAUGACUUUCGGAUUAAAUGGGGUAUUUUCAAAGGGAAAAUGCAUGAUUUCCCGUUUAAAUGUUGGAUUUUCAAAGAGAAAUUGGGUGAUUUUCGGGUUAAAUUGGGGAUUUUCAAAGGGAAAAUGCAUUUUUUUUCGGGUUAAAUGGGGCUUUUACGUAGAGAAAAUGCAUGUUUUUCAAGUUAAAUGGGGGAUUGUCGAAGAGAAGAUUUGUUUUUUUUUAGGGGGGUUAAAUAAGGGAUUUUUGUAGAGAAAAUUCUUGAUUUGGGGGUUGAAUGAGGGAUUUUCGAAGAGAAAAUGCGUGAAUUUCAGGUUAGAUGUGGGAUUUUCAAAGAAAAUAUGCGUCAUUUUCAGGUUAAAUGGGGGAUUGUCGAAGAGAAAAUUUACUAUUUUCAGUUAAAUGUUUUUUUUUUUUUUUUUUUUUUGUAGAGAACAUGCAUAGUUUUCAAUGUUAAAUGGGGGUUUUUCGAAGACGAAAAAAGGAAAGAUGAUAUUUUCAGGUUAAAGUGCAAAUUUUUUGAAGAGGAAUUUCAUGAUUUUCUUGUGAAAUGGGGGAUUUUUGACAGUACAUGUUUC